rnacentral:rRNA from 1 species
UAGUUUGAUCCUGGCUCAGAACGUACGCUGGCGGCGUGCUUAACACAUGCAAGUCGAACGCGAAAGUUCUCCUUCGGGAGAGCGAGUAGAGUGGCAGACGGGUGAGUAACACGUGGGUAAUCUGCCCCUAGGCGGGGGAUAACCACUGGAAACGGUGGCUAAUAAACGGUGGCUAAUACUGCAUAAGACCACGAUCUUUCGAGAUAGUGGUAAAAGUCUUCGGACACCAAGGGAGGAGCCCGCGGUCGAUUAGCUAGUUGGUGGGGUAACGGCCUACCAAGGCAACGAUCGAUAGCUGGUCUGAGAGGAUGAUCAGCCACACUGGUACUUAGACACGGACCAGACUCCUACGGGAGGCAGCAGUGGGGAAUAUUGCGCAAUGGACGAAAGUCUGACGCAGCAACGCCGGCAACGCCGCGUGUGUGAAGAAGGCUUUCGGGUCGUAAAACACUGUCAGGUGGGAAGAAUCCUACCCUUCGGGGUAAUUGACGGUACCACCAAAGGAAGCACCGGCUAACUCCGUGCCAGCAGCCGCGGUAAUACGGAGGGUGCAAGCGUAGUUCGGAAUUACUGGGCGUAAAGGGCGCGUAGGCGGCUUGUCGGGUCUGAUGUGAAAGCCCGGGGCUCAACCCCGGAAGUGCAUUGGAAACUGGCAAGCUUGAGUUCGGAAGAGGAGGGCAGAAUUCCCGGUGUAGGGGUGGAAUCCGUAGAUAUCGGGAGGAAAAUCAGUGGCGAAGGCGGCCCUCUGGUACGAAACUGACGCUGAGGCGCGAAAGCGUGGGGAGCAAACAGGAUUAGAGACCCUGGUAGUCCACGCCGUAAACGAUGGAUACUAGGUGUUGGGUUCAUUAAUGGACUCAGUGCCGAAGCUAACGCGAUAAGUAUCCCGCCUGGGGAGUACGGUCGCAAGACUAAAACUCAAAGGAAUUGACGGGGGCCUGCACAAGCGGUGGAGUAUGUGGUUUAAUUCGACACAACGCGCAGAACCUUACCUGGUCUUGACAUCCCGAAAAAGCCCUAGAAAUAGGGAAGUGCUCUCUUUGAGAGAAGUGACAGGUGCUGCAUGGCUGUCGUCAGCUCGUGUCGUGAGAUGUUGGGUUAAGUCCCGCAACGAGCGCAACCCUCGCCAUUAGUUGCCAGCAUUAAGUUGGGCACUCUAAUGGGACUGCCGGUGUCAAACCGGAGGAAGGUGGGGACGACGUCAAGUCAGCAUGUCCUUUAUAUCCAGGGCUACACACGUACUACAAUGGCCGGUACAAAGGGCAGCGAAACAGCGAUGUUUAGCAAAUCCCAUAAAACCGGUCUCAGUUCGGAUUGGAGUCUGCAACUCGACUCCAUGAAGUCGGAAUCGCUAGUAAUCGUGGAUCAGCAUGCCACGGUGAAUACGUUCCCGGGCCUUGUACACACCGCCCGUCACACCAUGGAAGUUGGUAGUACCCGACGUCGCUGGUCUAACCCGCAAGGGAGGUAGGCGCCCAAGGUAUGAGUGGUAACUGGGGUGAAGUCGUAACAAGGUAGCCG